GCUGAUGUCAUUUUUGUGAUUUGCAACUCGUUUUACGUGUGAAGUUGCAUAGUCACAAAAGUGAUCAUCAGA
ncrna:Petromyzon marinus (sea lamprey) microRNA pma-mir-153 precursor (pma-mir-153-2)